rnacentral:rRNA from 1 species
UACGUAGGGGGGCCAGCGUUGCUCGGAAUUACUGGGCGUAAAGGGUCCGUAGGCGGUGUGGCAAGUCGGGAGUGAAAUCUCUGGGCUUAACUCAGAGGCUGCUUCCGAAACUGCCGUGCUAGAGUGUGAGAGAGGCGAGUGGAAUUGCGGGUGUAGCGGUGAAAUGCGUAGAUAUCCGCAGGAACAUCCGAGGCGAAAGCGGCUCGCUGGAUCACAACUGACGCUGAGGGACGAAAGCUAGGGGAGCAAACAGG